UACGUAGGGACCAAGCGUUGUUCGGAUUUACUGGGCGUAAAGGGCGCGUAGGCGGCAAUUCAAGUCAUCUGUGAAAUCUCCGGGCUUAACCCGGAACGGUCAGAUGAUACUGCUUUGCUAGAGUGCGGAAGGGGCAAUCGGAAUUCUUGGUGUAGCGGUGAAAUGCGUAGAUAUCAAGAGGACCACCUGAGGUGAAGACGGGUUGCUGGGCCGACACCGACGCUGACAGCGCGAAAGCCAGGGGAGCAAACGGG
rnacentral:rRNA from 1 species